rnacentral:rRNA from 1 species
CGCAUCUGUGCAUGCAGCAUAUCAAUAAGCGGAGGAAAAGAAACUAACAAGGAUUCCCCUAGUAACGGCGAGUGAAGCGGGAAGAGCUCAAAUUUGAAAUCUUAAAGGGUUUCCCUUUACGAAUUGUAGUUUAAAGAAGUGUUUUCUGUUGAGGUUUUGGUAAAAGUUCUUUGGAAUAGGACAUCAUAGAGGGUGAGAAUCCCGUAUUUGACCUUUACUUUCAACUUUGUGAUACACUUUCAAAGAGUCGGAUUGUUUGGGAAUGCAGUCCAAAAUGGGUGGUAAAUUUCAUCUAAAGCUAAAUAUUGGCGAGAGACCGAUAGCGAACAAGUACCGUGAGGGAAAGAUGAAAAGAACUUUGAAAAGAGAGUUAAACAGUACGUGAAAUUGUCUAAAGGGAAGCGUUUGACACCAGUGUUGUUUUUCUGAAAAUCAAUUAAAGAACUGUUUAUGCUAAGUUGUUUAGACUUUAUCAGCUAUCUGCUUAGUUUUGAGCUUUUCUUUAAUGCACUUUUCAGUUAACAAGUCAACAUCAAUUUCUUUUGCUGUAGAAAAAGCUUGAGGAAGGUGGCUUGAGAUUCGUCUUAAGUGUUUAUAGCCUCUUGCCUAUGCAGUCGGAGAGAUUGAGGUCUGCAGCGUAGAUCCUUCGGGGCUAAAUGCAUUUGUGCUAAGUUAUAGCAUUUUAUAGACAACUUGUUGACUAUGAUUUGUCUUGUAGCUUACUCGCUUAUGUUAUUUUACCUACGCUUAGGAUGUUGAAGAUGUAGCACAUCAU